rnacentral:rRNA from 1 species
GACAGAGGGUGCAAACGUUGCUCGGAAUUACUGGGCGAAAGGGCUCGUAGGCGGCCAACUAAGUCAGACGUGAAAUCCCUCGGCUUAACCGGGGAACUGCGUCUGAUACUGGAUGGCUUGAAUCCGGGAGAGGGAUGCGGAAUUCCAGGUGUAGCGGUGAAAUGCGUAGAUAUCUGGAGGAACACCGGUGGCGAAGGCGGCAUCCUGGACCGGCAUUGACGCUGAGGAGCGAAAGCCAGGGGAGCAAACGGG